rnacentral:rRNA from 1 species
UUAUACAUGCAAGUCGAACGAAGGCCCUAGCUUGCUAGGUGUCCUUAGUGGCGCACGGGUGAGUAACACGUGGGAACAUACCUUAUAGUACGGAAUAACUGCGGGAAACUGUAGCUAAUACCGUAUAUUCCAGUAAUGGGAAAGAUUUAUCGCUAUAAGAUUGGCCCGCGCAAGAUUAGCUUGUUGGUGAGGUAAAAGCUCACCAAGGCUUCGAUCUUUAGCUGGUUUGAGAGGAUGAUCAGCCACACUGGGACUGAGACACGGCCCAGACUCCUACGGGAGGCAGCAGUAGGGAAUAUUGGACAAUGGGGGCAACCCUGAUCCAGCAAUGCAGCGUGAGUGACGAAGGCCUUAGGGUUGUAAAACUCUUUCAUCGGUGAGGAUAAUGACAGUAGCCGAAGAAGAAGGACCGGC